UAUUGGACAAUGGGCGAAAGCCUGAUCAAGCAAUGCCGCGUGAGUGAUGAAGGCCUUAGGGUUGUAAAGCUCUUUUACCCGGGAUGAUAAUGACAGUACCGGGAGAAUAAGCUCCGGCUAACUCCGUGCCAGCAGCCGCGGUAAUACGGAGGGAGCUAGCGUUGUUCGGAAUUACUGGGCGUAAAGCGCACGUAGGCGGCUUUGUAAGUUAGAGGUGAAAGCCUGGAGCUCAACUCCAGAAUUGCCUUUGAUACUGCAUCGCUUGAAUCCAGGAGAGGUGAGUGGAAUUCCGAGUGUAGAGGUGAAAUUCGUAGAUAUUCGGAAGAACACCAGUGGCGAAGGCGGCUCACUGGACUGGUAUUGACGCUGAGGUGCGAAA
rnacentral:rRNA from 1 species